CCGGUCUACACGACCUGAACCGGAGUAGAACCGGAAAAACCGGACUUGUACCGAACCGGAACCGGCUUGACCGGUACAGACACCGGUUCUGAAAUUUGAGAACCGGACUAGACCGGUACAGACACCGGUUCUUGAGGAGAACCGUACUUGAACCGGACCAUUUGUACCGGCUGUUAUUAGCCGUUGAGAUCUAUCUAGGUUUUUAAUCCUAGCCGUUGAGAUCUAUAUAGGAUUUCGAGAACAAAAGAAAAUGAAGAAGCAUUCUUCAGUUCUUUCUUCUUCGUUUCUUCUUCUCACUCAGCGGAAGCAUCAGUUUCUCGAUUCUCUUAGGGUUUGAAUCGAGAUUGAAUAUCAGUAAUAUCAGUGGAUCACCAUCUCUAUCAGGAUUCAGAUAUUGAGAAGAUUAGUCCAAAGGCCAAAGCAGAGAAGAAGGAAGAAUUAGAUUUUUGGGGUUCUCAAGUACUGCACAAUGGCUUGUGGCUGAACCGCUGAACGCUUAAGGAUCGUGAUUUGUUUCAGGGCAGCAGGUGUUACAAAAUACCCAUUAAAGACUUAAAGUACUUCAGAAUGACCACAUCAACUGCAACUCCAACUACAAAUGCAACUGCAACUCCAACUACAAGUACAACUCAACAAACAGAAGUUGGAUCAUCCUCUCAAGCUGCAUCUCACACAAAUGAAUCUGAAACUGCAACUCCAACAAGUAAAGGCAGAGCUGAAGCAGUUGAAGUUGGUGAUAGCAAAAAGAAGCACGGCAGAGUGAGAUCAUCUGUUUGGUUGGAAAUGACUAGGAUAUGAUGAAUGGGCUGA